AGCGGGGCCGUGAAGGGCCCACGCGGGCCCCCCCCCCCCCCCCCCACUCCCCCCUCGCCGCUUCUCCUCAGCGCGGGGUCCGUCGGUCUCGAAGCCGGGACCCCCGCCUCGGGUCGCUGCCUCCGGCUGGGGUCGGCUCCAGGGACCGCUGAGAGUUUCUUGCCCUCGGGACCCCCCCGAGCUGAGAGGACCCUGAGGGGACUCUGCCCUCGGGACCCCAGAGCUGAGGGGACCCUGCCUCCCCUGGGGACGCUGAGGGAUGAGGGGCCACGGAGGGUGUUCCUGUCCUGGGGACGCUGAGGGGACUCUCUGGGACAUGAGGGGACGCCAGUGGGUCUGUGCUCCAAGUGACACUGAGGGACCUGCUGUGAAACAGGGAACACUCCCUGCCCCAUGGAUGCUGGGGAAGGUGUGAAAGAGGGUUUUGAUCCCCCCACCUCACAGCAGCUGCCCCACAGCCUGGCCUCAUCCCUGGGCUGUGCCCCAGAAAAAGAGUUUGAGCUGAGUGGGAGCAGGAGGUGCAACAAGCACAGCAUGGGAUGCACAGCACCGGUCACCCUCCAGCCUCACAGACCCACUUCAGUACUGUAGGACAGUUUUUUUGCACCACUCGCAAGCGGUCUCCCUGCGAGGAAAAAGAAGCUGGAGACUUGCAUUUAAUGGAAGCUCGGGUCUCUAGCGGAGUUUCCAUUUGCUGCACAAAGAUUGCCAAAAUCAACGUUUCCUUAUGACAUUAUGAGAGAAAUAAUGCAAGUAGCUUCUGUGAUCUGCUUUGUCUGUAGCCAAAUUAUGGUCCUGGGCUGAAUUUUUUCGAAGGGAAGGACUGUUCUUCUCCCUUACCUUGGCCUCUAGCUCGGAUGCCCAGUCAGAAGGAGCUAUUCUCCAACAAUUUUUGCUAAUGUGGCUCAGACUCCUGUUUUUGAGAAUCACAGCUGCUUGGCAGCCAGCCAAGACCAAAACAGCAAAAGUGGCAAUUCUGAAAUUGGGGAAAACGACGAUCUAUCACAGGAUAGACCGAUUCUUUGAGAGCCUGUUCAGAGAAAGAGCCAUGCUUUCCCUGUACCUCCUCCAUAUUGCAAUCACUUCUGAAAAGAUUUCUAAGUGAGCUAGAGAUCAGAAGAGUGUGGGAGAACAACUCUCACUUUUAUAUGCUGUGUGCCCCGGGAGAGGAAAAACGAUGGCCCUUGAUGGGUUCUGGUUCUCAGAAACAUUUUGAACAUGUUCACUAGAGCCCAUCCCAGGCUUGUGGCUGUAUGCAGCCAUCUCAGGAAAGCACAGUUGCUAGGGUGAAUAAAUGAUCUUUUCAAUAGCUACACAUGUUUUAAAAUAAUGAAUAUCUCUUGUAUAACUUUCUAUAGUUUUUAUUCUAAAAGUUCACAGGAUGGCCAGGAGGAGCAGCCAAACUUCUGUGACUGGAGCAGAAUCAAUACACUGAAUGCAUGGUAACGAAGUACACAAAGAUGUAUGACUCAUAGCUAUGUAAUGUCACACUUGUGUAAUCUUUCAAUGUAAACUCUUUUCCUCUAAUAAAAUGUUAGUAAGUGUACAAUACGUAUAUAUGGUGCUGUGAGUCAGCCAAGAAAAUAUACUCAGAUGAAUUCCGAAUGAAUGUGAAUGUUCCCUUGAUAACACACCCUGAAUGUCUGUGUCAGUUUAUGUGCUUGUGAUUUCAGCAACAGCUAUAACAAAAUAUUUUGUUUCUAGGAUAUACAACUGUAUGUGUACAUUUCACUGAGAAGUCUAGUCAGAUGCUGACUGCUAUUAGGCACUGAAAGGACGUUUGCUGGUAGCCCUGCACUGACUGUCAGCCUAACUGUCAUGUUUUUUUCUAUGCAUAAAGGAAAUGUUUAGUGGGUAGUGAGGAUGAAAGCCAAAUUAAUGAAAUAAUCAUUUAACCGCCUUUAGUUUCUUUUUGUUUUCCAAUAAAGCUGCAAAGCUAAAAAAAUGUUGCUAUAUUAAACUUGGUAAGAUGAAUGCGAGAAUUUAUUUACGUUGUGAGUCACUAGUUCUGUACAAAUUGAGUACAACGUUGCCAUGACCUUCCACUUGGUUUGUGGUUGUGCUAAAUUUUCUGACUUUUUUUUUUUUUUUUCCCUGUAUGCAACGUUUAUUUAAAAUAUCUAAAAUCGAGACUCUGGCACUGAUCUCACUUACGACAGCAUAGAUCAGGAGUGAUGCCACUGGUGUAUAAAUGUGAAGAAUGUGAGAUUAAAAGGUAUUUGUUAAUCUGCUGUGGGUAGAGGAGAACUAAAUGAAGUGUGAUUUGUCUUUCUGCCAAAGUAAACACAGGCUCUACCAUUUUUGUAUGACAAAGUUGAUUUUUAUAGGUGUUGCUGCUGAUCUCUGUUGUUGCUUUUACAUCAAGAACUUUUGAAGGGAUUGUAGUCAAGAUUCCACAAGUUAAUAAAAGAUUCAGAGCUGGGGCUGUGUGAUGAACUGCACCUUUGGUGAAACUGCAACUGGAUCAGUUGGUUGAGCACCAGGAACAUGAAGCAGCACACAAAUGUGUUACCCCUCUUUAGCCGAGGACUGCACUUGUGCAUUUCCAGUUAUGGUAUUGCACUGGAAGCUCACAGGUGAGUGACUUUCACAAAGCCCUCCUCUCUCCCACCUCCUUCACGGCACCUCAACUUCCCAGCCAAGGGUACCACCACCAUGCAAAUAUGCUCAGCACUCAGUGCUGGCUCAAGGCUUUUCAACUGGAUUUAGUUUUGGUGACACCAGAAUAUAUGGGGCACAAGAGAAGACUGAAAAGUAGAAGAGAGCCCUGGGUGGGAGUGAUGGGGGGACCAUGUUGCAGGGCUGGGAGGCAUCAUCAGAGGCUUGGAGCAACUGGGAGGAAUCCAGCUUAUUAAGGCUGCACAGAGAAGAGGUGAAGACUCUGUGUGGGCAGCAGCUGGUGUGUUGCCCUUACUUCCUGUAAGAAAAGGUACCACUAAAAGAGGCAUCUCAAAGCAGCCAUCUCUAGCAGGGCAAUUUUGCUGCCAUCAGUGUUCUGUUGGCCCGGGUAACAAUCUGGUUUUGCCUAUGCCAGAAAGCAGAGCUGCCUGCGUUUUUAGUUCCUAGAAGCUUUAAAGCUUCUCUGUAUGGCCAUGCAUGGUGUUUAUUUCUGUAUUGAUAGUGAAGCAGUUAUAAUAAUUAUUAAACAAUAGCAUGUCCUUCUAAUUAUAUAGCACUUCCUUGAUCUUUGUCAUCUAAGACUUUAUCAGUAGCAGUUUCUGUUUUCUUCCAGGUCAUUGUUAGCAAUGUUGAAUUGUAAGUGACGAUAAAAAAGAUCAAGAACUAAUAAACCUGCUUGAUUAAAAUUAAAUUAGAUUUCAAGAUGUAUCAGCUUGUGUUUGGACCAAUUUGCGUGUGCACACCAUAUUGAUUUGUCAUUUUCUUGUUUCUUAUUGUGAAAAUCAUAUUGCAUAAGGCAAAUCCUUACAGAGAUUUGCUUGUUACAUCAGCACUGCUGCCUUAUUUAAAACACUGUCAAAAGCCAUUGUCAUUAGCUAAACUAACUCUCUUUAUUUAUGAUUCUUUUUCUGUAUUAAGUCCUUCCAGUAUUUUGCCCAGGUUUAUAUAACACAGAUGAGCCUAUGUGGGUCAUUCUGUUUACCCUGUUAAAAUAUUGACAUAAUAUUAACAUUCUUCAAGUCACCUGGGGCUUCCCCACUGUUCUGAAAUUGAUUGAUAAUAAACAUUAACCAUCUGGA